GUGGCGGCGCCUCCCGUGCGCUGGGGCAGGGGAGCCACAUGGCGGCGGUGGCGUGGGCGCGGCUUCUUCGGGGGGCGCGCGGAGCGGCCUUGCGACGCGUCUGUAGCACCAGGGUUCGCACCAGGGCCGCCUCGGCCGUCGCGCAGGUGAGGGAGAUCCGGCGGGGCCGCGAUGCAGGGAGGCUUCAAAUCCGGCAGCGGGCGGGGGACGCUGGGGAGGAAUUACAGAGCUCAGGAAGCAGACGCUUUGUUCUAGAACGUGCUGCUCCAUUCUCUGCUUUUUUGGUGGACAGCUUUGGGCGGCAGCAUAAUUACUUGCGAAUUUCGUUGACUGAGAAAUGCAACCUCAGGUGUCAGUACUGUAUGCCUGAGGAAGGUGUUCAGCUGACUCCAAAAUCAGAGCUACUAACUGCUCAGGAGAUAAUCACCUUAGCCAGAUUGUUUGUGAAAGAAGGUGUGGAGAAGAUCCGACUGACAGGUGGAGAGCCACUCAUCCGUCCCGACGUGGUGGAUAUUGUGGGUAAAUUGUACAAGCUAGAAGGGCUGAAAACCAUUGCUGUCACAACCAAUGGGAUCAACUUAACCAGACUGCUGCCCCAGCUGAAGGAGGCAGGACUGAAUGCCAUUAACAUUAGCCUGGAUACUUUGGUGCCAGCUAAAUUUGAGUUCAUUGUCCGAAGGAAAGGAUUUCACAAGGUAAUAGAAGGAAUCCACAAAGCCACUGAACUUGGCUACCAUCCUGUUAAGGUGAACUGUGUGGUGAUGCGAGGCUUCAAUGAGGAUGAAGUGCUCGACUUCGUGGAUUUCACAAAGGAUCUACCCCUUGAUGUGCGGUUCAUAGAAUACAUGCCCUUUGAUGGCAAUAAAUGGAACUUCAAGAAGAUGGUGAGCUACAAAGAAAUGCUUGAUACAAUUAAACAACGAUGGCCGGAAUUGGAGAAAUUGCCCUGUGAGACUUCCAGCACAGCCAAGAGUUACAAGGUGCCACAUUUCCAGGGACAAAUCAGCUUUAUCACAUCCAUGUCAGAACACUUCUGUGGAUCCUGCAAUCGGUUGAGGAUAACAGCCGAUGGAAACCUGAAGGUGUGCCUUUUUGGGAAUUCAGAAGUGUCCUUGAGGGAUCACCUACGGUCGGGUGCCUCAGAGGAGGAGCUGAUUCAAAUCAUUGGAAAAGCAGUGGGCAGAAAAAAGAAACAGCAUGCUGGCAUGUUUAACAUUUCCCAGAUGAAAAACCGGCCAAUGGUCCUGAUUGGUGGGUGACAAAUCAAACUGGGGCCUCCAGAGCUCUUCCUCCUAGUCUGAGUGACCACAACUGAAAGAUUCAGGGAAGUGCCUGUAUAAAAGUCCCUCCCUCCAGUAUCAUGUAUGAGCCUUAAAGGAAAUUGCCCUUCUCAUCCAACUGAACUUCCAGGAAAGCUCUCAGGUUUCCUGCUACCAAGAAGGCAUCAGUGAUCUUAGAGGUCUUUUUCAGCCUAAAUGAUUCUAAGGUUCCAAAUGCUGUCAAUCCUAAAAUAAGCUCAUAAUUUUUCUAGGAGCAGAAAUAGAGUCAAGCUCCAAAGCCCAUCACUUCCUUCUCUUGAAGUGUGUCAUAAGAGUUCAAGUUGCACUUUUGUACAUAUCAAACACAACUCAAACACAAAUACUGCAGACCAUGGCAACCCUCACAAUGCAUACAUUAGAGUUUUUGCCUGCUGGAAAUUCAGCUGUCUCAGCUUAUGGCCCAUUUGUGUGUUAAGAGUCUGUUCACUGCUAAUCCAGGCUCAGUUCUUCGGGGCAUCUGAGCCUGGCUUCCCUUCCUGCCCACAUCCUGACACUGGCUACUCCACCCUCAUACUGUUCUGUUAAAAACUGGAUGCAGCAUAUAAAGGAGAAGCUGGCAGAAGCUGCCCAUUAAGAAUUCUUGAAAAGAUUAAAUCUAUCCCAAAAGAGCAGUGCUUUUAGGAAGUGCUGGGGGAAGGAGAACGGGCCAUGGGGGGAAGACAGCUUGAAAUAACUCAGGGAGGGACUUACUUUUUUCAUAAUGGGAACUGCUCAAAACCAGAUUCUAAAAGCAACAACAGCUGAGCAGUAAAAAAAGGCAAUGAAUUUUGUUAGCUAUUUUCAGGCCCAGGUGACCUGAAGUGAUUCCCUGUAAAAUCCGUUACGCAGCGUUGCAUGAGAUUUGACUGAACAGAAUCUGGCCCUUAGUGGUUUGCUGGUUCUCAGCUCCCUCUGGCUGCCUCAGCAGAGUCAGGCAGGCUUGGAACAGCUGAAAAAAGGCUGUGUGUGCUUUGGCCAAGACAGAGCUGCUAAUUAGUUAAAUGGAAACACAGUUCACUUCAUACACCAGAGCCUUGCUCCAAGGGAAGCUCAGCAUUUCAGGAAAUCUAAAAUUGGUUGGAGGAAUUGCAGGUUGCGGUGGGCUGACCAGGUUCUCAGGUUUUUGAGAUAUCGGGUAAAAGCCUUAAGUCUCAAAACAAGUGUAUGUGAGGAACUCUGCAAAGUCAUGAUUGUGGCAGGCAACACCCUCACAUGCCUGUCAGGGUGCCAGAAAGGCACAGGGUGAGGAGCUGAAUCCUUUGUCAUAGGCUGUGCCUGAAUGGCUUUGGAUGAACUUGGUGAACUCUGUCAUAAGAGCAGCUUCUCGCUUAGCACAGCAGACUUAAACAGUGGGUGGCUAAGACAGAAAUCCAGCUGUCUACCUUCCCCUGUCCCUCCAUGCUGCCAGUGGCAUGUUUAGAAAGCUUCCAGUUUAGCAUCUCUGUCUUUGUACUAACCCUUUUUACUCCUUUGGGGACUAAAAGGUACCCAAAAUAGUAGCAGUAAAGUGCAGCUGAGUGCAAGUUCACAGAAGGGGAUGGAUGCCCUUGAGACACUGCUGAGCUUUCCUCCAAGCAAAGAAGCACAACAAACCAGGCAUUGGUCAGCUGUGUGUGCAAAACCCAACUGCAGUGGACAGCCAUGGACAUCAAGCAAGCUGCCUACUGCCCAUGGCUCUCCAAGGUGCCAUCCAUGCAACACUUACUCCACAGAACAAAGUUUCAUACUUCAUGAUUGCUUAAGGCUUGCUUCCAGAGCCCCAAAUUAGCAGGAGAGACAAUUGCUUCAUGAAUUACUCCAUCAACAAAGCAGACAUGAUCUCAAAUUGUGGACAGCCUGCUCAAAACCAGAAACUCUCAAUACUAUUAAGCUCUUCCUGCAUGAAUUUAGCCUUAACUUUAAGUUCAACAGAAACACUCUCUUCUAUAACCAUGAUACUUUCAGGCUGUGCAGCUGAAAGGAUGUGAAGCCAGCAAAAGCAGAGUUUGUGUUUACAAAGUCAAGGGCAGCUUGGCUGCAGUGGGACAGGGGGUAGGGGAGGAAGAGAGGAGAUAGCAGGAGGGCCAGGCAGCUAUAAGUAUUCUGUUAAUAUUAUGCUUGGAAGAUAACACAGUCUAUCAGAUACAUGGCUGCUCCAUAGGCAGAACCUUAGGCCAGUUACCUGCUGGUGCAAGUUGUGGCAAAGCUCUGUCAACAGCAGAGCUGUGCAGUAUCACACCAGACAGCAUCUGCUGCUGGGAGCUGGGAGAGAGGGGUUCAGCUGCACAGCCCUGACCUGCCAUUACUGCAGCCUUAAUGAACUUAAGUUUCAUUAUCAGGGUAACUUCAGCACUCAAGGCUCCCCAUGUGCACAGUUGCAGCAAGGCUGGAAUUGCUGUUGUGUGAGGCAGUGCCUGGAAUUACACUACCUGUCCAUCCCUCUCUCUUCAUCCCCUCACCAGCUGCCACCCACAGUCCCGGUGCUUCAGAGAGCUGCACUUCCCCACCCUGGGCCUAAUGCUGAAUGGAAAUGUUUCAGCUCUGUGUGGCUUGUUUGGCUUCUGCAGAGCUACCCUUAGAGGCAUCCUCAGCACAGAUCGAAGAAUGAGCUGAGGGAAGGGAGUAAAUUCUGCUACCUCUGAAACCUCAUCUCUCCUGUUGCAGCUGACAGCUCAAAAGGCUCCAUCCUGCCAAGACUGAAUCUUAAUUUGGAUCACUGGAAAAGACAAACUGCUGUCAGGGCUGCCCUGAUCCUGGGCUCACGGAGAACAUGGGCAGAGAACAUUGUCUAGCCCCACAACAGAAGGCCUUCACUAGGGUUUACAAAAAAUAAAAUUCCCUUCAGAGUAUGGAAGAACUGGAAGCAGCAAGAGGAUGCCAAGGAGAGGACAUGGCUUAGCCAGGUAGUUUGCAGAGGAAGAGCAGGCAGAACCACACCACAUGGAAAAUGCUCCUGUCCUUGUAGCCUGCUGGGAAGGGAAGCCACCAGCAAAGGCUGAGGUGCAGCUAGUAAUCCCCAAGCCCUGCAGUGAAUUCAAAUAUUAUAAUCAUCUCUGAACAAACCCACAAAACUAUCACAGUCAUACCCAGAACUGCUGUUGCCAAGGGCUACAGGAAGAAGGACAAGGUGAGUUUUUCAUCUGUCUUGGGUUGCAAUGCACGAUGUAACCAAAAGUAUGUAUUCUAUUACCAUUUGUUAAAACCAAGUGGGGCAGUGUUUUAUCCCUACCACAACCCAUCUUCCCUCCAGGGGGAUAUAUUCUGUUAAUGGGCCACUGAGUCUCACUGCAUGACUGAUAAAAUUACAUCAUCCCAUUGUAAGAUGCUCCAUCCAGGGGGAGGAGCCAAGCAUUUCUACCUGUAUAUCUUUGGCAACUCGAAACACCGCAAGCAGCCUUUCUCCACUGGAUCCUAGAGGAGAGACUAGACACCACCACUGGACCUUCAGAGGAAAACUACACCCUUCUAUAGAAUCACUGCUUCAACAGAAGCAGACAGAUCUGGAUCUAUCAUUCCAGGAAGACUGCAGCCAUCAUUUAAUAGGACUGCUACCAAUACCCUGACUAACAGGGUGUCAGGUUGUAUUCUGACUCUGUCAGUGGGUUGUUAGUUUGUUGGUUUUUCUUUUUUGUACUACUGCAUUUUUAUUUUAAUUUCCUUAGUAAAGAACUGUUAUUCCUAUUCCCAUAUCUUUGCCUCAGAGACCUUUGAUUUCAAGAUUAUACUUUGAAGAGUGGGGGGUGGUUUACGUUUUUAUUUAUUUCAAGGGAGGUUUCUGCCUUCCUUAGCAGACACUUGUCUUUUCAAACCAAGACAUCAUCUUAGAAGAGAAAGACUAGAGCAAAACCUCUUCAGGCAUCCCAUCUGCACGUGGCACCAGGAUGCUACAUGAUGCUUUUUCCAAGCCACAGCUGCUGACUUAAAGCCCACUUGCUUCAAAGACCCUGGCAGAAUUCACUCAUACUUCCAUGAUUAGGCACAGUCUAGUCACCCCUUUGGCUUUGUGGAGGCAACCAGAAUCAACACUGCCAACUCCUAAUGUACGCAAGGUGGGGACACUAACGUGGCAUUCCCAUUGCUCUGUGUACUCUGCAGUGAGCACCUGGAGACACACUUCCAAGCCUGAGUGUUCCUCAUGCCUGAUGUGCAAUUGGAGAAAAUGAGGUUUGCUACCAGAUUGACAAAACAAUUUUUAGCAGAUGGGCUUCUGUCCCUUGAUUUCUCCUAAAUAUUGGAGGAAGAUUUCACCUUGCUGCCUCUCAAGGGAAAACCUUCACAUGUGUUGGUGACAGCCCAGACCCUGUUUUAAUGAGAGUGAGAAGUGCAGACUUUCAGGGUUCAUUGCAGAGCUGAGGGAAAGGGUGAGGAGGAGUAAGAAGAGAAGCAAGCUAGCCACCAGCAAUGAUCUUACAAAAGAGCCCGCUUCUCAUCAAAGCUCAGCUAUUUCUGUGACUAUGCCCAUUACCCCAUAAUUAUACUGAUUCUGCUCUGCACAGUACUAAGUCAGGUCUACUGAUCCCAGUCCAAACUCCUGCUGCCUUCCUGUUUGUAUUAGGGCACCAACAUGGGUUAAAAAUUAGAGAGUAAGAUUGCCUCAGUAUCUGAUUUAUCCCCUUUCUUUCUUCCAUCUUGAUUUGGGAUGUGCUGGUCAGCAUCCCCCAGGGAAAGCAUUAAUCAGGAACACAGGGAGAGCUAGAAGCUGCCUGACAAGGACAAGGCUAUGGGACAAGCUGCAGUUUGGAAUCUCUUGUUUUGACCCUGGUACAAGUCCAAGACAUGCUUGCUGAUGCAUCCCAGCACUGAUACCCCAGAAGAUGGCACAAGAUCAGCAUCCCCAAGGCCACAGCUAGCUCUGGUCCCAAUGUCACAUUACUUCAGUGCUGGAGAUGCUUCUGUGGUGAAAGGCUGCCCAUCCCUGUGACUCGAGAGGCAGCUCCAGCUCUCCAGAUGCAGAAAGUGCCUCCUCUCCUCUUACAGAGCUCUCAUUUCAGGGACCAGAGCAAGGGAAGAUGUUACUGCCAUUCCAUAAGGGCAACAAAAUAUCUUUAACAUUUGGUCCCUGGAUGAACAAACAGCUGCACCACAAGGAGGACAAUGGGAAGGUAGGACACAACACCCAAUCUGCCUGGCAACUCCUGACCCAUGUGAAGCCAAGCUGAGUGCAGAGCAACAGCGUUUGUGCCAGGGUCAGUCCUCUGCCGGGGGCUUUACCUGGAGCCUGAGGUGCCCAAGCUCCUGCAGCUCUUAAUACCACAAAGGGCAGCAGAUCCUCCCAAGGUGGGUAAGCAAAGGGUCGUGGUAAAGGAAUGUGAGAGCUCAAGAGGGAGGUGAACAGGGCUCAGAUAUUGAAGGAAAUCAGGAGCAGAAACAAGGGGUACUUUACAGCAGAAUGGGGCGUGGCUCUGAAGAGUUAUUGUCUACUUGGUAGCCCAAAAGGAAAGAAAACAUCCGACAACCCUGGGAAAAAUUUGCACUUUGGGGUUAUCCAGCUUCUUCUACAAGGUAAGAACAAGUCCAGACUUGUUCAGGAGCACAAAUAUAUGUGUGUUACCCAAGAAAACACUUGCCCAGUUAUAACACCUUACUGUGAGUACUGGGCUAAUUUGUAUUUCUGCCUGUGAAAGCACCUCAUGACUAUGCAGGGACUAAGGUGAUAGUUACCAUCACUCCCAAAGGCCAUCACACCCAGACAGCACUCAGCCAGGCAGAGCCUGAUCACAGGAAUAUCCAGUGAGAUAUUGCAGAACACCAUUUCCUAUUGUAGUUAAUUUAUUUAAUUUUUUAAAGAAUUUGUUAAAAACUUGUUGGUACAUUCUUGUUUCCCGUUGUUGAUUGUAAUGGUUUAGCCCCAGUUGUCUGUUAUACAAACCCCUCCCAGUUUUCCUGAAUGUGCCUCAUCAGUCACCUUUACCCUGCCCCAUCUCCCCAUCCAUCACUGUAAACCCCACCUCUCCUUCCAGCUCCUUCCAUGUACAUCAUCCCUUCCUCGACAUGUUAUUGGUUGUUAUGUUAUGUUCCCUCCUUCUUUGUAUCCCCAUUGGUCCCUGAUAUUGUAACCUCCUCCCCUUAUCCCUCCCUCCAUGAGCUCCGAUUGCUUAGGGGAGCACUGACUGUGCCCACCCCUAAGAUAAAACCCAGUGCACAGAGGUGCUCUGGGCUCUCUCCGGGGCUGUUUUGUCCCAGCCCAGACCUUUGUGUUCAUCCCCUCUCCCUAAUAAACCUGUUCCUGGGAAGUACA